rnacentral:rRNA from 1 species
CAGUCGCCGCGGUAAUACGGAGGGAGCUAGCGUUAUUCGGAAUUACUGGGCGUAAGGCGCACGUAGGCGGCUUUGUAAGUUAGAGGUGAAAGCCUGGAGCUCAACUCCAGAAUUGCCUUUAAGACUGCAUCGCUUGAAUCCAGGAGAAGUGAGUGGAAUUCCGAGUGUAGAGGUGAAAUCCGUAGAUAUUCGGAAGAACACCAGUGGCGAAGGCGGCUCACUGGACUGGUAUUGACGCUGAGGUGCGAAAGCGUGGGGAGCAAACAGGAUUAGAUACCCCGGUAGUCCCUGUCUCUUAUAC